rnacentral:tRNA from 1 species
GGUGGCUCAGUGGUAUAGCGCUUGCCUUGCAUGCAAGAGGCCCUGGGUUCAAUUCCUCAGCACCA